rnacentral:rRNA from 1 species
ACACAUGCAAGUCGAGCGGUAGAGAGAAGCUUGCUUCUCUUGAGAGCGACGGACGGGUGAGUAAUGCCUAGGAAUCUGCCUGGUAGUGGGGGAUAACGUUCGGAAACGGACGCUAAUACCGCAUACGUCCUACGGGAGAAAGCAGGGGACCUUCGGGCCUUGCGCUAUCAGAUGAGCCUAGGUCGGAUUAGCUAGUUGGUGAGGUAAUGGCUCACCAAGGCGACGAUCCGUAACUGGUCUGAGAGGAUGAUCAGUCACACUGGAACUGAGACACGGUCCAGACUCCUACGGGAGGCAGCAGUGGGGAAUAUUGGACAAUGGGCGAAAGCCUGAUCCAGCCAUGCCGCGUGUGUGAAGAAGGUCUUCGGAUUGUAAAGCACUUUAAGUUGGGAGGAAGGGCAGUUACCUAAUACGUGAUUGUUUUGACGUUACCGACAGAAUAAGCACCGGCUAACUCUGUGCCAGCAGCCGCGGUAAUACAGAGGGUGCAAGCGUUAAUCGGAAUUACUGGGCGUAAAGCGCGCGUAGGUGGUUUGUUAAGUUGGAUGUGAAAUCCCCGGGCUCAACCUGGGAACUGCAUUCAAAACUGACUGACUAGAGUAUGGUAGAGGGUGGUGGAAUUUCCUGUGUAGCGGUGAAAUGCGUAGAUAUAGGAAGGAACACCAGUGGCGAAGGCGACCACCUGGACUAAUACUGACACUGAGGUGCGGAAGCGUGGGGAGCAAACAGGAUUAGAUACCCUGGUAGUCCACGCCGUAAACGAUGUCAACUAGCCGUUGGAAGCCUUGAGCUUUUAGUGGCGCAGCUAACGCAUUAA